rnacentral:rRNA from 1 species
AGAGUUUGAUCAUGGCUCAGAGCGAACGCUGGCGGCAGGCUUAACACAUGCAAGUCGAACGGGCACUUCGGUGCUAGUGGCAGACGGGUGAGUAACACGUGGGAACGUACCUUUCGGUUCGGAAUAAUUCAGGGAAACUUGGACUAAUACCGGAUACGCCCUUCGGGGGAAAGAUUUAUCGCCGAUAGAUCGGCCCGCGUCUGAUUAGCUAGUUGGUGAGGUAAUGGCUCACCAAGGCGACGAUCAGUAGCUGGUCUGAGAGGAUGAUCAGCCACAUUGGGACUGAGACACGGCCCAAACUCCUACGGGAGGCAGCAGUGGGGAAUAUUGGACAAUGGGCGCAAGCCUGAUCCAGCCAUGCCGCGUGAGUGAUGAAGGCCUUAGGGUUGUAAAGCUCUUUUGUCCGGGAAGAUAAUGACUGUACCGGAAGAAUAAGCCCCGGCUAACUUCGUGCUAGCCGCCGCGGUAAUUC